CUAGACUUACCAGUAUUUGGGUGCACACAGUGGAGUGGAGCACUGGUUGCAGCCUCUGUUUACCUCCUGUCUUCAAAUCUUCGGUUAAAGAAAAAGCCUUUACCUCAAUCAUCUCAUAAAUCCAGCUCAGGAAUUCAGCCACCUUGGUGUAAACCCCCGGAUGGUUUGGCUCAGCGCAUCCCGUACCCCAGCUGACAACCCCGACCAGCCUCCAUACAGUAUCUUCCUGGCAAACCAGAGGACCCCCGCUGUCUCCCUACAGAACUGGAAAUAAAUCCAGGCGUCGAGGGGUUAAAUGAAUUUUACGAUUGAGGCAGGUUUGGUGAGUCACCUUAGAUAACCCAGCUGUUUGCAGACCAGCGUUCCCAGGGAGGAGUUCCACCUAUCAUAGCACACUGGCAGCCAGAUGUGAAGACUCACCUAAAAACCAGACGCCAACAACAACGCCUCCCAGAAGUCCCACUGCACACACCGCUGCCAGCAGCCUCACCAGUCUGUGAGCUAAAGCAACAGAAAUGCUGGCAUGAAGGUUCCUUAAACUUUGAUGUGAGCUGAGAAGAAUGAUUCAAUAUUACCGUGAGUCGUGGAGUGGACGCCCUUUAACCAGCCCUGGACUCCUUUGGCCCCCACAACGGCUGUUGUUGCUUCUGAGGGAAAAUGAUGAUUGACAGCUACUGGGUUCUCAAUCACUGAUAACGCAUCUCCAUCAAGACUCUGGAAAAGUCACAGCACCCUUUUUAAAGCUCUUUAAAAUCUAUUUUUCUAUGUUUUUUCACUAUUUUACAUCAUCUUGUUACCUCAGGAGAUGCCUUUGUCAACUGUCAUUGAAAUUUCUAGCUCACUGAAAGUGACUUGAAUGCAUUUUUUCUAAACAAAACUCCAAGUCAGUAUGUCUGUUUAAUGAUAUUAACCUCAAACCAAAGCAAAUAUUGUUGCUUUUGUGUGCAUACCUUGUUACCCAAUACGUUUUCUUAACUUGAAGACAGCUCAUUUUGAAACAAAUGCAGAGUGUUUUAUGUGUUUGAAUCAUUUUUUCUGUCCACAAAUGAUGGGAUGUCAACAUGGUGACAGAAACA